GAUUCUGGCUCAGGAUGAACGCUAGCUACAGGCUUAACACAUGCAAGUCGAGGGGCAGCAUGGUGUGUGCUUGCACACACUGAUGGCGACCGGCGCACGGGUGAGUAACGCGUAUCCAACCUGCCCGGUACUCGGGAACAGCCCUCUGAAAGGAGGAUUAAUGCCCGAUGUUCCGUGCAUCCCGCCUGGGAUGCCCGGCAAAGAUUCAUCGGUACCGGAUGGGGAUGCGUACGAUUAGGCAGUAGGCGGGGUAACGGCCCACCUAGCCUUCGAUCGUUAGGGUUCUGAGAGGAAGGUCCCCCACACUGGAACUGAGACACGGUCCAGACUCCUACGGGAGGCAGCAGUGAGGAAUAUUGGUCAAUGGGCGCGAGCCUGAACCAGCCAAGUAGCGUGAAGGAUGACUGCCCUACGGGUUGUAAACUUCUUUUAUGGGGGAAUAACAAGGGCCACGCGUGGCCCCCUGCAUGUACCCCUUGAAUAAGCAUCGGCUAAUUCCGUGCCAGCAGCGGC
rnacentral:rRNA from 1 species